rnacentral:lncRNA from 1 species
UUUUAAGCUGCAAUCACAUUGGCUACUUGGAAGUGAUAAAUAACUCAAACAUGGAUAAAUAUAAGGUUACUAUUUCUAAAUUUUGAAACAUUUUAAAAUUCAUAUCAUGAACAAUAUACAGUACUACAGCACAAAGGUCUAAAAGAAAAGCCUGACAUGAUUUCAGUGUCCAUCUUUAUACACAGAAAUUUAUGUUCAUUGGAAUCCAGAAUGUGGCAUCACUUGAAUCUUUCCUUCAAAAUUGGCAGAUAAGCUGUCCUACAAUUGGUCCCAAAAUGUAAUCACCCGGGAGGGCAGCUUGUGUUGCAAGUGCUAUCAAUUAUCAAUUAUUCAUUGGGACUAAAAAUCGAAUUGCUGUGCAUGGAUUAGUCCUCUCUUGACCAAGGAGUUGUCUCGUGACUUUCACUUGUAACUUUUUGAUGUAGUGAUAAACGCUUGAUCUAAUAUCAAUUUGAUUCAAGAUCACAAGUUCCGUAUAAUUGUUCAGGAAAAGAUUGUUGCAAGUUACAUAAUCGAGUCACGAUCGAAGAGUUUGAUUUUUACUAAUAAAUACUUGAUCCAAGAGGAUGGUUGGUUGAGAAUUCUUUCUUCCCCCACUUGUCAGAAACCUAAAGAUCUUGCCAAUGAGUUAACACAGUGGAAGCAAUUAUUAACCUUAAAAAAAACAGACAUAAAAACAAUCACAACCAGACAACUGUGAAUGUAUGGAACUUGACAAUUGUGCAUGAGAUACCACAUUAGCAGUAAUAGGAGUGGAUCCAAAAGAGCUGAUGCAAAGUUUAAAAAACAUUGCAUCAAUCAGAGCAUUCUCCAGCUAUAGAGCCAAUCAGAUUGCUUAGUAGAUCACACACAUGAUUAAAACCCUUUUUAAUAGUAAAUACAUAAAUAAAAGAAGAGGGAACAAGAAAGAGAGAGAGCCAGGGAAGAGGCAGUGCAUGAGCGUAGCCACAACAGAUAUCUCUCUCCUCUCAUUCUCACUUCACCAUUUCUGUCAAUAGCUACAUUCUUGCUCUGCCUUUUCCCAGCCUUUGUCCUGUCUCUUCUCUUUGACCCCUCAAACUUUGGAUAGACUAACUUACCUCUAUCCUCAUCAACAUCAUUGACCACCCUCUAAAAACUGGAUUUGCAUAUUACUUUUGCAUACAUUUCAUACAACCCAUCUCUAUAUAUAAUACUGGUAAUUAUAAUUAUAAAAAGUGUACCAGAGAGAGAGAGGAAUGAAUGGUUUGUAGUACAAGCAUGUACUAACAAAUUUCAGUCCAACGUUGGCCUGUACUACUUCAUGAUAUUGGUAGUACACUAAUGCUAAUUCCAUUUCAAA